GAUCAUGGCUCAGGAUGAACGCUAGCUACAGGCUUAACACAUGCAAGUCGAGGGGAAACGAUAGAGAAAGCUUGCUUUUUCUAGGCGUCGACCGGCGCACGGGUGAGUAACGCGUAUCCAACCUGCCCACCACUUGGGGAUAACCUUGCGAAAGUAAGACUAAUACCCAAUGACGUCUCUAGAAGGCAUCUGAAAGGGAUUAAAGAUUUAUCGGUGAUGGAUGGGGAUGCGUCUGAUUAG
rnacentral:rRNA from 1 species